AGAUAUGUACAUUUUCACUUUCACAGGGGCACAAACCACCGCCAUCCGACACUCCGAUGACCUCAGCAAACAUCAGUGCAUGUUCAUCAAUCCAACCAAGCCCUAAUUCUUCGGCUUUCCCAAGCCCUGCACCCUCUUACCACGCCAGCCCUACGUCCUCGUCCUAUCCAAGCCCGCCACGUGGUGAUAGAAACCCCACCUCGUAUAUCCUACCUUUCCUCCGUGUAUGCAAUAGCGCCCCCGUCACACCCCCUCUCUCCUCUCCUUCUAGAAGCUCCAAUCCGAAUCCGCAUUGGGAAUCUUUUCCCAAUAAUAAUAACAAUAAUAAUAAUAAUAACUCGUUCAAUUCUUUUAUCCACCCCCUUUUCGCUGCUUCGGCCCCUCUAGCCCCACCCGCCGCCGGCGGUUUACACCCCCCACAAUCCCGGAAUGCGACGAGUCUGAUUUCUGGGCAAGUUUUCCAGGCGGGCCCACUUCGCCGACUUAUAAUCUUGUGAAACCGCCACAUCAGCAGAUUCCUUGCGGGGCGAAGAGGGCACGCGGUGGCACUGAGUUCGAGUUUGAGAAUGGUGCUGUAAUGGCUUGGGAAGGCGAGCAAAUACACGAGGUUGUUGGAAUGGAUGACUUGGAACUUACACUUGGGAGUGGAAAAGCUCAUGCUUAAGCGUCUUUUUUCCGAUGAGGUAUUUUACAUGAUUGGUCAAGAAAAUUCCGUAUUUGCUCAAGACGAAGCCGUUUCGUAGCUCGAGAUUCGAUGGUGAGCUACGUAGAGUUAAAUGCUUUAUUGAUUUCUAUUUUAAUGAAAUUAUGUGUAAGAAUGGUAUAUUUUAUCAGUCGGCAUCAUGUAGAGAAGGAAACUUGAACUUUGAUGAGUUGGUUCAAUGUUGUUUCUCAGUGGCAGAAUGGUAAUUAGGAAUGGGGUUCUUGAAUACAUGCAUCUUUAUUGCCUACACCAUUUCAGAAAUUACAUGUUUUGUAAACAUCUGUUGUAGUUGUAAUCUAUAUAUAUAUAUUUUUAGUUUUAAUGCGAAGCAGUAGUUAUUAAA